rnacentral:rRNA from 1 species
UGGGGAAUCUUCCGCAAUGGGUGAAAGCCUGACGGAGCAACGCCGCGUGAGGGAUGAAGGCCUCUGGGCUGUAAACCUCUUUUAUCAAGGAAGAAGAUCUGACGGUACUUGAUGAAUAAGCCACGGCUAAUUCCGUGCCAGCAGCCGCGGUAAUACGGGAGUGGCAAGCGUUAUCCGGAAUUAUUGGGCGUAAAGCGUCCGCAGGCGGCCUCGUAAGUCUGUCGUUAAAGCGUGGAGCUUAACUCCAUUUAAGCGAUGGAAACUGCGAGGCUAGAGUGUGGUAGGGGCAGAGGGAAUUCCCGGUGUAGCGGUGAAAUGCGUAGAUAUCGGGAAGAACACCAGUGGCGAAGGCGCUCUGCUGGGCCAUAACUGACGCUCAUGGACGAAAGCCAGGGGAGCGAAAGGGAUUAGAUACCCCUGUAGUC